AACCACUAAACGCACCACGGUUUCACGAAAAGUAGAUAGGCCACUCAGUUGCGAUAUGGUUGCUAUCGAGAAUGUGUUGGCGAACGCGACAGAUGAAAGGGGAAUAUGUCAGAUCAUAUGAGUCAGCAGAAUUGGAGAAGAAAUAGACCAGAUAGGAAUCGUACUCUAUAUCUAGUUGCAAAAUUAAAGCGUGAAUAAUAAGCCAUUGGCGAAUUUCAAUAGUCGUUUAAUCGUCAUAAGGUAUACCUAGUUUGCUAAUUUAAAUGCAGAGAUUAUGAUUAUUGUGAAUAUUGAAUUAUAGGUUGAAUUUCGCAACGAUACCUUGCAGGAUCGGAAUUAUUGUUUCUAUUAUAAAACCAUUUGGAAAACUUGUAAGUAAUCAUUUCGUUAUUAUUGCACAAUUGUGAGAUCUAAUUGAAUCUUAUUAUCUGGAUUAGGCUGAAACGUAGCGAAUAAUUGUCGACCAGAAGUAGGAUUGAUAGGAAAGGUCACCGGAAUUGUAAGAAUCAAUCAUAUAACCGAAAUGUACAUAACUAAUUAUUCUGGUUUUUUAGCUUUAAAGCAACGACAAAUAAAGACUGAAUUGCUAAAAGAUCCGUGAAUCCCGUAUUCCUACUUCGACGUGACAACAAAUCUUUAAAGAAUUCCGUCGAGACGUUGAUUGUGCACGGAUUUGGCAUCGAACCAACGAAGAGACAGUCGCGAUGGCAACAGGUGCGGAUUGGCAGAACUGCAUUGCCUGUAACAAGCCGGAUCGGGAAGAGAAUUUGGUAGCCUGUGAUGCCUGUAAGGAUCGGUACCAUUUCUCAUGUGCUUCGGUGGACGACGGCGUCCGCGAUAGAUGUUGGUCAUGCAGCAGAUGUGCCUCUGCGAUACUCGUGGAUGACGUGUCGAGAUCCGGUAAAUCCAGCAAGUCUGGUAAAAGCAGUCGGUCGUUGAGGAUUAAGCUUCAGCUAAUGAAGAUUGAGGAGGAGCGUAAGGCCGAAGAGAAGCUCAUGCUGCAACGGCAAGAGCUCGAAAGGGAGCGCCAGGAAAAGGCUUUACUCGAAAAAGCGUCAAUGGAGAAGAGGUACCGCGAAGAAAAGUACGCGCUGUUGAUGGCGGAAGCGAGCGAAGACGAUGGUGAAAGCGUCAAGAGCCGUAGGAGUCGAGUGAGUAGCAAGGACAAGGUCAAUAGGUGGAUAAAGGACCACGCAGGCAUUUUGGCUGAUGGAGACGGUCAGCCCGAUCCGGUUGUAAGGGAGCUUCCAGCGAAGCCGACGGAUGCGAAUGCGGAUGGCGCGAAAAAUCAUGAAACGCCACUAACAUCAUUGGGCGACAAAGUUGGUAAACCACUAGGCGCAGUAACGAAAGAGACCGUUUCGAUCAAACCGGCCACACAGACGUCGACUCCGACCCAGAAAGACCACGUGGGACCACCAGAAUCAUUUUUGCAGAUGCAAACGAUAGCCGAGCAACCAAACUCAAAGCUGGUUUUCGAUCAACCCCGUCAAUCGAUUUCCCAACCAGUUGUCAGAGGACUAACGGUACCUCGAGAGAUCCAGCAGCAGGUUCCGAUGCCGACAGUCUGGCCACCGAAUCACCAUUCUGGUUCGUUUCCGACGGAGCAACAACAACUGUAUCCGCAAAUCCAGAAUCCUGCGUUUGGCCCACGGCCCGAUCACCAGCGUGCACCAGCGAUGAAUCAUUCUCGACCGCCACCGGGGUUUCACCAUUCCACGAUUAAUCCAAACCAACUAAACGGUACGCAAUCGUUCCAACCCGAUCAAUCUCAAGCAGCGUGGGGUCAGUUUCAGCAGCAGCUCGCCGCCAGACAAGUGGUACCGAAGGAACUUCCGGUGUUUACCGGAAACCCGGAGGAUUGGCCAUUAUUCGUGAGCAGCUACCGGAACUCGACAGCGAUGUGCGGUUACUCAGAUGCGGAAAACCUCAUGAGGCUGCAGAGGUGCCUCCGAGGCAGCGCGUUGGAGGCUGUCCGCAGCAAUCUACUGCUGCCAUCGUCCGUUCCUCAAGUGCUGGCAACGUUAGAAACGCUUUUUGGCAGUCCAGACCGACUGCUGCAGACCAUGUUAAACAAGGUUCGUACUGUUCCGGCGCCAAAAGCAGACCGGUUGGAGACUUUGGUCAAUUUUGGCAUCACCGUUCAGAACCUGGUGGGGCAUCUGAAAGGCGCAAACCAACAGGCACAUCUGAUGAAUCCAUCGUUGCUGAGCGAACUGGUUGAAAAGCUACCGGCUAAUAUUCGAUUGGACUGGGCACUACACAAGCAGCGCGCUGGCUUUGUCGACUUGGGCACCUUCAGCGAGUAUAUGAUGGCGAUAACUUCCGCGGCCAGUGAUGUCACGCAGUUCAGCGACCACGAUGCCUAUCGAGCCAACCGCAUCGAGAGACAGCGUCCCAAGGAGAAGGCGUAUAUGAACACCCACUCUUCGGCAGAUGUUCGUAAGUCUGAUAGUUUUAGAGGUAAGCCAGAAAGUUUAGCAAGACCGUGCUAUAUUUGCCAAAGUCUAAAGCAUAGAAUAAGAGAUUGCUCUAGAUUUAAGACAUUGCCUAUGGGAGAUCGCUGGAAAGCAGUUAGUGAACACCAACUGUGUAAAAUUUGUUUGGUGCCGCACGGUAAGUGGCCAUGUAAAUCCAAUAAAGUGUGUGAAGUGGGGGGCUGUUCUAAGGGGCAUAACACGUUACUCCACCCGGGCCAUCCUGACGAGUUUCCACGCUCCGGAACCAGUGCGCCGGCAGUCGUUUCUGUGCAUCGCCAGCUUCAGAAUCCCAUUUUGUUCCGCAUUAUCCCAGUGACGCUCUAUGGGAAAGGGACGCAGAUAACAACCUUCGCCUUUCUGGAUGAGGGGUCAUCCUUGACUCUGAUGGACGCCGAUAUCGCGGAUCAACUGAACAUCAGCGGCGAAGUGCAUCCAUUGUGUCUUACAUGGACAGCGAACAUUGAGCGGCGGGAGGCAACAUCACGACAAGUUAGUCUGCAAAUCUCGGGUUCAUCGAACGACACCAAAUUCGUAUUGGGCGACGUUCGCACGGUGGAAGGCUUAGCUCUCCCAACGCAAACUCUUCAGUAUGGAGAACUAGCCAGACGGUACCCACACUUGGAAGGACUUCCGAUAAAGGACUACGAGCAAGCGGUUCCGAGGAUUUUGAUAGGCAUGGACAACGUUCAUUUGUCUGUUCCGUUGAGAAGAAGGGAACGAGGAACACGAGAACCAAUCGCAGCGAAGACAAGAUUAGGUUGGACGGUGUUCGGCUGCGUUGGUGAUCCUUCGAAAGUCUCUGUUUCACCUUCGUUUCACAUUUGCGAAUGCGUGGAGCUGAAUGGAAUCCAUCAGCUGGUUGAAAGUUUUUUCUCCGAGGAAUGUCUGGGUAUUGUAGCAGCACGUACGCUGGAAGGAAACGAAGAUCGCCGCGCAAGAGAGAUCCUAGAAACUACCACCGUACAGCGAGAAGAUGGGCGUUUUGAGACUGGUUUACUGUGGCGCAACGACGUCGUGGAGUUUCCUCCAAGCUACGCUAUGGCUGAAAGGAGACUAGCUUGCCUUCAUCGUCGACUGAAAGCCAACCCGGAGCUGCUAGCGAACCUGGAAACCCAAAUAGCUGAAUACCAGAUCAAAGGAUAUGCGCACAAGGCUACAAAGCAAGAGAUCGAAGAAUUCAAUCCCAAGCAGACAUGGUUUUUACCGUUAGGGGUUGUGACCAAUCCAAGAAAACCUGGAAAGGUCCGCAUGAUUUGGGACGCCGCUGCGAAAGUUAACGGCGUAUCGUUUAAUAGCAUGAUGUUGAAGGGGCCGGACCUGUUGACGCCGUUGCCGAAGGUAUUGUUUCAGUUUCGCCAGCGACAAAUUGCAGUUGUUGGAGAUGUGCGUGAAAUGUACCACCAGUUCUUCAUCCGUGACGCAGAUCGUUCCGCUCAAUGCUUCCUGUGGAGCCCGGAGCCCUCUCAACCGCCGGAAGUAUUCAUCAUGGAUGCAGCGACCUUCGGCUCCACCUGUUCUCCGUGUCAGGCACAGUUCAUUAAGAACAUGAAUGCGAAAAGCUGGGCGAAUGAAUUUCCGGAAGCAGCAGUAGCACUAGUAGAAAACCACUACGUGGAUGACUACUUAGAUAGCAGGGACACAGCGGAAGAAAUGGCAAAAGUGGCGACAGAUGUUCGAACGGUGCACGCGAAAGCACGGUUCGAAAUAAGAAAUUGGCAGUCGAAUUCGGGACAGGUGCUGGCGCAUCUUGGGGAACAGCAUACACCUCAAAGUAAGGAAUUCACUAGCGAUAAAGUUAGUCUCAUUGAACGUGUGCUAGGGAUGGCCUGGCUUCCCAAGGAAGAUGUAUUCACCUUCAGAAUAUCUGUGUCGGAGGAUCUGCAGCGAUUAGUAUCAGGAGAUUCAGUGCCUACGAAGAGGAAGAUCUUGCGGUUUAUUAUGAGCCUAUAUGAUCCGAUUGGACUUAUCUCUCAUGUGCUGAUACAUGGGAAAACCAUCAUACAAGAUCUGUGGAGAUGUGGAGUUGGAUGGGACGAUCCAAUCCCCGAAGAAGUCAACGAAACAUGGAGAAGAUUUGUCAGCGUGAUCAGCGAGCUGCAUCAGGUUCAAGUACCCCGCUGCUACUUUCCAGACUACGAAAAUGGCAUCUAUGAAACGUUGGAGCUGCACAUGUUUGUGGAUGCGAGCUUGUCUGCUAUGGCUUGUGCGGCUUUCUUCCGUGUAAUCGACCGUGGACAAACACGAUGUGCGUUGGUGGCUUCGAAAGCGAAGGUAGCUCCGUUGAAGCCGCUGUCAGUUCCGCGUUUAGAGUUGCAAGCGGCUGUUAUGGGAAGCCGCUUAAUGAAGACCAUUGCCGACAGUCAUUCGAUUAAAAUCCAGAGGAGAUUCAUCUGGACCGAUUCCAACACUGUUCUACUGUGGAUUCGGUCGGACGCUAGAAAGUACCGACAAUACGUUGCUGUGCGUGUAGGCGAAAUUCUGGACGAGACCAAUGUGCAGGAAUGGAGAUACGUGCCGUCGGGGCUAAAUGUGGCGGACGAUGCGACCAAAUGGAAGGGAGCUCCGGAUCUACGGCCAACCAACCGUUGGUUCUCUGGUCCAGAUUUUUUGUAUAAACCGGAGAAUCAGUGGCCACAGCAGAAAGUGCAGUACGUCGAAAUUCCAGAAGAAUUACGCGCAGUUCAUUUUCACCGAGAAAUUGCCCGUGUCAGCUUCAUCGACGUUCAACGGUUUUCUAAAUGGGAACGUCUCUUACGGUCGGCUUCGUUCAUCUUUAAGUUCAUUAGGCGAUGUCGCAACAUACCGGGAUCAUCUCAGAUGUCAGAAGGAUUGGAUCAGCAAGAUUUCCAACGUGCGGAAUGCGCGUUGUGGCGAUUGGCGCAAGAGGACGAAUACGCAGAAGAGCUGAAACAAAUAAGAGUUGAAAACGAAAGUGAAGUAAAAAGGAACAGUCCCUUAAGGAAGCUGUCUCCGUUUAUCGGCGAAAAUGGAGAACUUCGCUUGGGAGGUCGCAUCGGUGCUUCACCCUUCACUGCGUACGAUGCGAAGUAUCCAGUGAUCCUGCCGAAAGGACACCGUAUUACCGAACUUAUCAUCGACAGCUACCACAGAUUGUUUGGGCACCAGAACGGAGAAACUGUGGUAAACGAAUUGAGACAAAAAUAUUACAUCUCCAACAUGCGAGCGGAAGUGCGCAAGGCUGCUAAGCGUUGCCAAUGGUGCCGCACCUACAAAGUUCAACCGCAGAUUCCAAGGAUGGCGCCACUGCCGGUAGAGCGCGUGAUACCGUUUGUUAGACCGUUCACGAUGAUCGGGAUAGAUUAUUUUGGUCCUUAUUUGAUCAAAAUUGGCAGAAGUUUGGUGAAACGGUGGGUUGUCCUAUAUACUUGUCUCACUAUAAGGGCGGUCCACUUAGAGAUAGCAGCAUCCUUAUCAACCGAGUCGUGUAUGCUGGCGCUUCGUAGAUUCAUAGCCAGACGUGGAGCGCCGCAGCAGAUUUACACCGACAACGGGACCAACUUCGUCGGUACCGAAAGGGAGUUGGCGAGGCAAUUACAGGACGUGAACCAGAAGAUGUCUGAGAGCUUCACGAACGCAAAUACCAGGUGGAAUUUCAUUCCACCAGCCUCUCCGCACAUGGGCGGUGCGUGGGAGAGGAUGGUCAGGGCUGUAAAAACGGCUAUGAGCUCCAUGAACCACCCCCGGACUCCUACAGAGGAGGUGUUUCAGACCGUUUUAUGCGAAGCCGAGUCUAUGGUCAACUCGAGACCAUUAACAUACAUGCCGCUGGAAGGUUCGGAUCAAGAGGCUCUUACACCAAACCAUUUUCUCCUUCUGAAUUCAGUGGGAGUGACGCAGACUGAGAAAUCGUCGACGGAGGAAAGAGAAGCUCUACGCAGCAACUGGAAACUCUGUCAGCACAUUUUGGAUCAGUUCUGGCGCAGAUGGAUCCGUGAGUAUCUGCCUACAAUAACGCGAAGGACCAAAUGGUUUGCGGAAACGAAGAGGAUAGAAAUAGGUGAUGUAGUCUUCAUCGUAGACGGAAAUGUUAGAAAUCGCUGGACUCGAGGAGUGGUGACAGCAGUUUUUCCCGGAAAAGAUGGCCGAAUCAGGCAAGCAGAAGUGCGAACCAAUUCUGGAACACUUCGCAGAUCCGUCGCUAAACUGGCGGUUAUGGACGUCCUUUCAGAAGGUAAAGCUGAUGAACGGAGCAGCUUUACGGGGCCGGGAAUGUUGGAGUGAACCACUAAACGCACCACGGUUUCACGAAAAGUAGAUAGGCCACUCAGUUGCGAUAUGGUUGCUAUCGAGAAUGUGUUGGCGAACGCGACAGAUGAAAGGGGAAUAUGUCAGAUCAUAUGAGUCAGCAGAAUUGGAGAAGAAAUAGACCAGAUAGGAAUCGUACUCUAUAUCUAGUUGCAAAAUUAAAGCGUGAAUAAUAAGCCAUUGGCGAAUUUCAAUAGUCGUUUAAUCGUCAUAAGGUAUACCUAGUUUGCUAAUUUAAAUGCAGAGAUUAUGAUUAUUGUGAAUAUUGAAUUAUAGGUUGAAUUUCGCAACGAUACCUUGCAGGAUCGGAAUUAUUGUUUCUAUUAUAAAACCAUUUGGAAAACUUGCUGAAACGUAGCGAAUAAUUGUCGACCAGAAGUAGGAUUGAUAGGAAAGGUCACCGGAAUUGUAAGAAUCAAUCAUAUAACCGAAAUGUACAUAACUAAUUAUUCUGGUUUUUUAGCUUUAAAGCAACGACAAAUAAAGACUGAAUUGCUAAAAGAUCCGUGAAUCCCGUAUUCCUACUUCGACGUGA